rnacentral:sRNA from 1 species
ACAACUUCCACGGCACUGCCGAGCAGGACCUGCCCUUCUGCAAAGGAGACGUGCUCACCAUUGUGGCCGUCACCAAGGACCCCAACUGGUACAAAGCCAAAAACAAGGUGGGCCGUGAGGGCAUCAUCCCAGCCAACUACGUCCAGAAGCGGGAGGGCGUGAAGGCGGGUACCAAACUCAGCCUCAUGCCUUGGUUCCACGGCAAGAUCACACGGGAGCAGGCUGAGCGGCUUCUGUACCCGCCGGAGACAGGCCUGUUCCUGGUGCGGGAGAGCACCAACUACCCUGGAGACUACACGCUGUGCGUGAGCUGCGACGGCAAGGUGGAGCACUACCGCAUCAUGUACCAUGCCAGCAAGCUCAGCAUCGACGAGGAGGUGUACUUUGAGAACCUCAUGCAGCUGGUGGAGCACUACACCUCAGACGCAGAUGGGCUCUGUACGCGCCUCAUUAAACCAAAGGUCAUGGAGGGCACGGUGGCGGCCCAGGAUGAGUUCUACCGCAGUGAGUGCACCCCACCCCAGACCUCUUGCCCACCCACCUCCUCCCACGCAGGCUUCCUGGCACUGCCCCCAUCCAGGAACCUCCAGAGAACCCCACAUGCCUGAUAAUCCAGUCAGCCUCUGUCAUCCCAGCCAUGUCUCUAGUGGCCUCCAGGCCCUCACUGGCCCCUCCCCACAGGCGGCUGGGCCCUGAACAUGAAGGAGCUGAAGCUGCUGCAGACCAUCGGCAAGGGGGAGUUUGGAGGUGAGCUGGGCCGGGCCACCUGGGGGGGUGCCGAGGGACUCGGAACUUGGGAACAAGCCCACCUCUCUGCCCCCAGACGUGAUGCUGGGCGAUUACCGAGGGAACAAAGUCGCUGUCAAGUGCAUUAAGAACGACGCCACUGCCCAGGCCUUCCUGGCUGAAGCCUCAGUCAUGACGCAACUGCGGCAUAGCAACCUGGUGCAGCUCCUGGGCGUGAUCGUGGAGGAGAAGGGCGGGCUCUACAUCGUCACUGAGUACAUGGCCAAGGGGAGCCUCGUGGACUACUUGCGGUCUCGGGGUCGGUCAGUGCUGGGCGGAGACUGUCUCCUCAAGUUCUCGCUAGAUGUCUGUGAGGCCAUGGAGUACCUGGAGGGCAACAACUUCGUGCAUCGAGACCUGGCUGCCCGCAAUGUGCUGGUGUCUGAGGACAACGUGGCCAAGGUCAGCGACUUUGGUCUCACCAAGGAGGCGUCCAGCACCCAGGACACGGGCAAGCUGCCAGUCAAGUGGACAGCCCCUGAGGCCCUGAGAGAGAAGAAAUUCUCCACUAAGUCUGACGUGUGGAGUUUCGGAAUCCUUCUCUGGGAAAUCUACUCCUUUGGGCGAGUGCCUUAUCCAAGAAUUCCCCUGAAGGACGUCGUCCCUCGGGUGGAGAAGGGCUACAAGAUGGAUGCCCCCGACGGCUGCCCGCCCGCAGUCUAUGAGGUCAUGAAGAACUGCUGGCACCUGGACGCCGCCAUGCGGCCCUCCUUCCUACAGCUCCGAGAGCAGCUUGAGCACAUCAAAACCCACGAGCUGCACCUGUGACGGCUGGCCUCCGCCCGGGUCAUGGGCCUGUGGGGACUGAACCUGGAAGAUCAUGGACCUGGUGCCCCUGCUCACU